CUGGCGGCGUGCCUAACACAUGCAAGUCGAACGAGAAAGUGGAGCAAUCCAUGAGUAAAGUGGCGACCGGGUGAGUAACACGUGACUAACCUACCUCCGAAUGGGGAAUAACUCCGGGAAACCGGGGCUAAUACCGCAUAACACCGCAAGGUCAAAGCAGCAAUGCGUUUGGAGAGGGGGUCGCGGCUGAUUAGCUAGUUGGCGGGGUAACGGCCCACCAAGGCGAAGAUCGGUAUCCGGCCUGAGAGGGCGCACGGACACACUGGAACUGAAACACGGUCCAGACUCCUACGGGAGGCAGCAGUGGGGAAUUUUGCGCAAUGGGGGAAACCCUGACGCAGCAACGCCGCGUGGAGGAUGAAGUCCCUUGGGACGUAAACUCCUUUCGACCAAGACGAUAAUGACGGUACUGGUGGAAGAAGCACCGGCUAACUCUGUGCCAGCAGCCGCGGUAAUACAGAGGGUGCAAGCGUUGUUCGGAAUUAUUGGGCGUAAAGGGCGCGUANGCGGUGCCACAAGUCACUUGUGAAAUCUCCGGGCUUAACUCGGAGCCUGCAGGCGAAACUGUGGUGCUG
rnacentral:rRNA from 1 species